AUCUAUUUAGUAUAUAAGUAUAUUUGACUUCCAAUCAGAAGGUUUGGGUAAACCCAAAAUAGAUA
rnacentral:tRNA from 1 species